GUGCCAGCCGCCGCGGUAAUACGGAGGGUGCAAGCGUUAUCCGGAUUUACUGGGUUUAAAGGGUGCGCAGGCGGAUAUGUAAGUCAGUGGUGAAAUCUCUAGGCUUAACCUGGAAAUUGCCGUUGAUACUAUAUAUCUUGAAUGCUGUGGAGGUAAGCGGAAUAUGUCAUGUAGCGGUGAAAUGCUUAGAUAUGACAUAGAACACCUAUUGCGAAGGCAGCUUACUACGCAGAUAUUGACGCUCAUGCACGAAAGCGUGGGGAUCAAACAGGAUUAGAAACCCUGGUAGUCC
rnacentral:rRNA from 1 species